GCCCUCGUGGCCUAGUGGUGAACGUUCUUGUUUUCCAAAUUUCAUCUCCCGGGUUCAAUUCCACCCGGGGGCA